rnacentral:lncRNA from 1 species
GAUUCAGAUCACCGGCACUUAGCCUGCUAGGUUUAUAACCUGAUUCAGAUCACCGGCACUUAGCCUGCUAGACGUAUAGUCUGAAUAAUUUCACUGGCAAUAAAUUCGAUUGAUACUGAGCUUUAACAAAAGAAUCUCAAUUCACAGAAGUUGUAUCUCAUAUUUGUAUAUAAAAUCCACAUAAAAUUCAGCAAAAUAUUCAUAACAUAUAUCUUUAAAACACAUGGAUAUAUAUAAAUCCCAAUCAUCAAAUCUAACUUAAAUAAUUCAAUAAUUCAACCGAAACACAUUUAUAUAUAUAACCUCAUACUUUAGAUUCCACUACUAAUAUCAUAAGAUUUAACUUAUAAUAUACUAUGUACUUUUAACAUUUGAAUUCCAUAUAUACCUAUAUAAUUUCAUAUACCUUUUCAAUUCAAGAUCUUAUACAUGUACAUAUAUACAUAUUCGAAUCUAACAAAUAUAUAUUACUCUAUGCUUAUAUUCGAAACAAGAUCUUGUACUUUUAUACAUUAUACACAUAUAUAUUCGAAAUUAACACACAUAUAUAUAAAUAUAAUUUCAUACCUAUACUCAAUAUAAUUAUUUAUUCAUAUAUAUAUAUGUUUAUUCAAUCCAACUUAUACAAAUAUUUGAUACAUAUAUAUCUUUAUAUAUAUCUAUUCGAACAUCAUGUAAACAUAUAAAACAAUUAACAUUAACUAAAUUAAAACUUUAUUGACAUAUAUACAUACCUAUGUUCGAAUACAUCACAUGCCUAUAGUUCCAUACCUAAAUUAUUUACAAAGACAUUGAUGUAUAUAUAUUUGUAUAUUCAUACUCAUUCGAACCUAACACAUAUAUAUACAUAAUUUUCAUACUUCUCAUUCGAUUUAUAUACUUUUAAUUUUAACUCAACAUAAAUACAUUUGAUAUCCAUACAUGUAAUAUAAACUGAUUUAAUAAAAUUAAAUAUCUAAUAAACUUACCUCGGAUAUCAACGGACACGAUCGACUAUUCAACUACUUUCGUUUUUUCCCGAUCCAAAUCCGUUUUCUUCGUUUCUCGAUCUAAACAUAUUCAAAUUUAACCUUUUUAUUCAUCAAAACAUUCAAUUAAAUCCAAAAAUACAUAAAUGGGCAAAUCACCAUUUUGC